rnacentral:snoRNA from 1 species
ACUCUCCAAUUUCCUUACCAAUCAGGUCUACACCCGCUCUGGGUGGUUACAAAAGGAGGAAAAGUAGAGUGGAAAGGGACUUUGUGCUUUUGGGGCACACGGGCUAGCAGAUUCCAACAACA